rnacentral:rRNA from 1 species
AUUGAACGCUGGCGGCGUGCUUAACACAUGCAAGUCGAUCGGUAACGCGGGGGCAGCCCUGGCGACGAGAGGCGGACGGGUGAGGAACGCUUGGGAAUCUGCCUAUCAGCGGGGGACAACACGGGGAAACUCGUGCUAAUACCGCAUACGCUCUACGGAGGAAAGCCGGGGACCGCAAGGCCUGGCACUGAUAGAUGAGCCCAAGCCGGAUUAGCUAGUUGGCGGGGUAACGGCCCACCAAGUCUACGAUCAGUAGCUGAUGUGAGAGCAUGAUCAGCCACACGGGCACUGAGACACGGGCCCGACUCCUACGGGAGGCAGCAGUAAGGAAUAUUGGUCAAUGGACGCAAGUCUGAACCAGCCAUGCCGCGUGAAGGAUUAAGGUCCUCUGGAUUGUAAACUCCUUUUAUCUGGGACGAAAAAAGGCGAUUCUUCGUCACUUGACGGUACCAGAUGAAUAAGCACCGGCUAACUCCGUGCCAGCAGCCGCGGUAAUAC